GCUGGGCACAGUGGCGCACGCCUGUAAUCCCAGCAGCUCAGGAGGCGGAGGCAGGAGGAUCUCGAGUUCAAAGUCAGCCACAGCAAAAGUAAGGAACUAAGCAAUUCAGUGAGACCCUGUCUCUA
rnacentral:sRNA from 1 species